ensembl:lncRNA
GCCUGAGAGAGGGAGAGAGCGAGAGAGAGAGAGGCAUAUCUGUGGCCUGAGAGAGAGAGAGAGAGAGAGAGAGAGAGAGAGAGAGAGAGAGAGAGAGAGAGAGAGAGUGAGAAAGAGAGAGAGAGAGAGAGGCAUAUCUGUGGCCUGAGAGAGAGAGAGAGAGAGAGAGAGAGAGAGAGAGAGAGAGAGAGAGAGAGAGGCAUAUCCGUGGCCUGAGAGAGAGAGAGCGAGAGAGAGAGAGAUAUAGAGAGGCAUAUGUGGCCUGAGGGAGAGAGAGACACAGAGGCAUAUCCGUGGCCUGAGAGAGAGAGAGAGAGAGAGAGAGAUAUAGAGAGGCAUAUGUGGCCUGAGGGAGAGAGAGAGAGACAGAGAGAGAGAGAGAGAGAGAGAGAGAGAGAGAGAGGGGGGGGCAUAUCCGUGGCCUGAGAGAGAGAGAGCGAGAGAGAGAGAGAGGCAUAUCCGUGGCCUGAGAGAGAGAGAGAGAGAGAGAGAGAGAGAGAGAGAGAGAGAGAGAGAGAGAGAGGCAUAUCCGUGACCUGAGAGAAAGAGGCAUAUUCGUGGCCUGAGAGAGAGUGAGAGUGAGAGAGAGAGAGAGAGAGAGAGAGAGAGAUGCAUAUCCGUGGCCUGAGAGAGAGUGAGUGAGAGAGAGUGAAAGAGAAAGAGAGAAAGCGAGAGAGGCAUAUCCGUGGCCUGAAUGCCUGCAUAAGGUCAUAAGGGGGUUUAUUUAGCACAGCCUCCUCAAUCAUGGAAUGAUGAACUCUUCCUAUGUGUCAGCAGUAUUGACUUGUUUGCCUAAAUGGAAAACUCCACCCCAAAACUAUCUUUUGGUAUUUGUUUCAUUAGUCCAUUGUUGAUAUUGUCCCAAAACGUUUUGCAUGUCAGCAGUCAAGUUUUCAGAAUUACAGCUAGUAUGAUGCAUUUUGAAUCAUAUGAUGCUGUGUUUUGCAGAAUAUGAUGCAAAAUGCAUCCUACCAGCUGUAUUUCUGUAUUUUGAAAGUUAUAUAUCUUGAAAACUUAAUCGCUAACAAGCAAAACAUUUUGGGACUAUAUCAACAAUGCAGUGCUUAAUUUGUAAAUUGGUAGGUGCCAGAACAGUGUGCCAGAGAGGGGGGUGACUUGCGGGGCUCUGAUGUACCAGAAUACAUGAAAAAAAAUCACCUUUAUAAUAAAUUCCAUGCAGCGUUAUCAUAGCUUUUGCUACUGGCAUAGAGCGGUAGAGAAGAAGCGCUUGCAUAAAUUCUACAUAUGGGGGGGAAAUGGAGCUUAGUGUCCGUGAAAAAUGUGGCCUUUUAUUAAAACAUUGAAUGAAAUUAAUUCUACAUCAUAUUAGAUUAAUGGAGACUUUAGCAUACUAUUUUUAAUACCUCACGAAUGAUCGAAAUGACAGGCUACUUUGACACGGACAAACUGAGAAUCUGAGAUCACUAGAAAUGAGUUUGUCUUGAAUUCAUCAAUAGCCUAGGCCUGUGUGCGCGGGGAGACACAUUGUAUACAAUAUAAGGAGGAAAUUAUAGUCCUAAAAAAGCUUUGCAAUUUCACUGACUCUCCCAAUGGUGCGCUGCUCACUCGCCCGUGAUGGCCGAUGCGCUCGUGCCAAAAAAAGCGUAUCUCUCUCUUGCUUUACUUUGUAAAACAAUGCUGUUGUCUCAAUAGGUCUAUUUGGAAGUUGAUAACAGGUUAGCCUUCUUUUCAGCAGGAUCCAUUUUCUUUCCAACCUGUGUUUUCCCGCGAUUGUAUUUGAAAUAUUGCGAAAUGUCUGUUUUGGCUGGAUGCUGUUUGUUCACUGAAAGAUUUUCCGCGCGUUCCGGACUGUAGGCAUGCCUUGCGGUUCGGCUACACACAAUCCACACCUAGCCAGUAUUUUUUUUAUAAGCUAUUGAUCCUCUGUGGGUGAAUUAUAGUUUUACUCCUGAUGUAGUAUACAGAAUUGUUUCAUUUCUUCCUGAACAGACAGCGGAAAUUCUUCAGCGUUGGCAAAUGUAGGCUAUUUCAAUCUAUCAGUGUUGCUGCGGCACCUCCAGCAACCUUCCUGUGGCUAUGAUUAUAUAAGGAAAUAAAUUAUGAAGUGCAAAGCUGGAGAGAAGAGAGUUGAAGGUUCAUGUCUAUCAGAGUUAGAAAGAGGGAGAGAGAGAUAAUAGAAAGUGAAUCUCAUUUUAGUUAUGUAAAGGAUACAGUCGUGCUUCCUUCUCUCACCACAGCAAUGGUCACGCGUUGGUAUAGGGCACAAUGUUGGGCAAACCAUAAACCCGGGCCAGCCCAACAUGGACACAUUCUUAGAAUAUCAGGCACGUUUUCUCAUUACGUUUUUUUACGGGGCAGGAGAAUUACAGAGGAGUCAAAGUUGAAUUAACUCAGAUUGCUUUUAUUAUAUUUUUUACAUUGUAAACAGUGAAAAUAAUUGUUCAUGACACAAUAUGUACUGGAUCCUGGCAAAUGGGUUCUGGAACGAAAAUGUUAAAAACGGAGAAGUGCCAAACCUGUUCCAACAGGAUCCGGCUCAAAUUAAGCACUGCAGCAAUUGACCAAUGAAACAAAUACCUACAUUUAUUUUCCCAUAAAUACAGUGCAUGUUUGCAAAAUGUAAUGUACCCGGUAGGUGCUUGAGAACCGCAACGUUUUCAGUUACAAUCUGAAGAUAUGCAUAGCAUUGUAACAUAUGUCACUCUCCCGCUUUAAAAUGUGUUUUGUGUUUAUAGGGGGCAAAUGGUCCCUUUUAUUUCCCCUCUAUUUAUUUAUGGUGAAAUUGAAUACUAUUGAAAACUGACCCGAACCAUUUCUCCAUUUGUCUAUUUGGUUGGUUUCAAAGACAACAAGUUCAGAUUCCCCUUUAUGAAAGACACAUAUUCAAGAACAUAUUGAGGGCAAAUUUAGGACAAUAAAAUGAGAAUACUGAAUAGUCGGAUCUAACCCAUCAGCCCUGACAAUUUUAGAAAGUGAUACUCUUGUAUUUUCGAAAUAAAGACCAAAUGAAA